UACAGAGGGUGCGAGCGGUAAUCGGAUUUACUGGGCGUAAAGCGUGCGUAGGUGGUUUGUUAAGUCAGGUGUGAAAUCCCCGGGCUCAACCUGGGAACUGCGCUUGAAACUGGCAAGCUAGAGUGUGGUAGAGGGUAGUGGAAUUCCCGGUGUAGCGGUGAAAUGCGUAGAUAUCGGGAAGAACACCAGUGGCGAAGGCGGCUACCUGGACCAACACUGACACUGAGGCACGAAAGCGUGGGGAGCAAACAGG
rnacentral:rRNA from 1 species